rnacentral:lncRNA from 12 species
UUAUUGUUUUUUAUUUUUAGAUUUCUGUAAUUUAUUUUCUUUUCAGUUUUAGUAGUUAGUAGUAAACUUUAGCAGUAAACUUAAUUUAUGUAGCUGCCAAGAACAGAUCAAAUUUCUGUUUGCAUUUUGCAAAUGUAGGUUUUCCAUUUGACAUUUACAUUUUAUUGUAUUUCAGCCUUUUUUCAAUUAAUGAAAAUAUUUUUUAUUUUAGUUUCAGUUAACAGUAACAGCACUGUCACGUCCAUAAACCCAUGAUAAUAAAAUAAAAAAUAAUAAAAAAUACACAAAAAGAUUAUGGGUGAUACACACAACAUCAGAUGAGUAUGACAGGAAUUAAUUACUUAUAGUAGUCCCUAGGGAUUCAAAUUGAAAUGUGAUCACAAGGUGGCGCUCUUACACUGUCAGUGUCUGAUUCCUCUUGCAUCUGCCCUCAUAUUGCAGGUUUAGCAGCGUGAUUGAGUCAUUAGGCUCUCAGAAGGUCUGUCCUGUGUCUGCGCUGUGGUGACAGCACUGUUCGCUGAGGUUCAACUUCAUUUCCUCCGAAAUUCUAGAAGUGUCGGCUUUCCACAUGUGUGCCAAGUUUGGUUGUCAGCAGGGUUUAAGAUGAAUUAAGAGAGACUUUUACACCCAGAGGAGUUUCUGCCAAGUCCCUAGAGAUCCGAACCUGCAAGGGCGACAGGAGUGUUGGUCCUAUACUUCACCCUGGAGUCAUGCAGAUGUUUCAGGUCCGGGCAGGAUAAAGCCAAAGGUAAGCGAGGGGCUGGGAUUUGUGUGGCGGUUUCACUGCAAUCAGCUUAGAGAAAAAGAAAGUUAUUCUGGUCCCUAAAGCUUCCGAUUGUGCUGUGCAGAUAGCAGAGGGUGACAGGAGCACUCAUUGAUUAUCUGUCCCAGAGCUCGUCUGAGAGACAUUCUCUUCUUCCGGCCGAUAGCGGAGACUACAGCUAAUUGACCUUGGAGCGUCCGCGCUCUUAACGGAAUAUUAACAGGUCGCGAGAAUGCUUUGUGCUCCGCAUUGUGCAAAUACACAAUGGGAAAAUAAUUGAUUUGUGCUUCAGUUGCAUUUUUUAAUUAAAGCAUUAAGUGCAUGUGCUCUACUAAUUUAUUUUUUAGCAACUGAAUGACUCUUUUAGUCCAGCAAAUCAUUUUUGCAAUAAACAUACAUA